rnacentral:rRNA from 1 species
AGUGAACGCUGGCGGUAGGCCUAACACAUGCAAGUCGAACGGCAGCACAGUAAGAGCUUGCUCUUACGGGUGGCGAGUGGCGGACGGGUGAGGAAUACAUCGGAAUCUACUUUUUCGUGGGGGAUAACGUAGGGAAACUUACGCUAAUACCGCAUACGACCUACGGGUGAAAGCAGUGGAUCUUCGGACCUUGCGCGAUUGAAUGAGCCGAUGUCGGAUUAGCUAGUUGGCGGGGUAAAGGCCCACCAAGGCGACGAUCCGUAGCUGGUCUGAGAGGAUGAUCAGCCACACUGGAACUGAGACACGGUCCAGACUCCUACGGGAGGCAGCAGUGGGGAAUAUUGGACAAUGGGCGCAAGCCUGAUCCAGCCAUACCGCGUGGGUGAAGAAGGUCUUCGGGUUGUAAAGCCCUUUUGUUGGGAAAGAAAAGCAGCAGGUUAAUACCCCGCUGUUCUGACGGUACCCAAAGAAUAAGCACCGGCUAACUUCGUG